UAGAGCGGUCCCUGUGUGCGAGAGCGAGGUGGGAUGAUGGGGGCGGCCAUUUUGAAGAGGAAGGGAAAGAAGAGAGGCCUGUGGUUCUGAGGGGAGGGUUCUGCCUGUGUUCAGACGAGACUCCCGCGGACACGUGACAUUAAAAAACAACCAGCCCUCCUGAAACAACACAACCGAGCCUCUGAACACACAGAAGGAGCAAGAUGCUUGCAGCUCAGCUCAUCCAUACAUGGAAGGACGGAGAAGCAUCUGACAAGGCAGAGGGUCCCUUCCUUACCUCCAUGAGAUGAUAUAAGCAGAGAGCAAGUUUUGCACCAGAAUGAGGGUUGGCGAGAAUGGCUUGUGCGGAGCCUGCCUGCCUUUCCUUGGCUGCCGUUACAGAUACUCUGGCCAGGAAUCUGCCACUCGUCACUCACAACUGAAGGCUGAAGAACAAAGUGGUUGGCCAGAAAGCACUGCGUGCCCAAAUUAUGGUUUUCAGAAAUUCACACAACACUAAAGAAGGAAAAUUGGAAGCAGAACCUAAAUCAGUACAUGCUUAUGCUCUGGGUCUGCAACUUUCAGCUUACCUCUGACAGGAGAUGGACUCUGACAUUGCGUACAGCCCUGUAACUGUGACAGCCUGGAAUAUUCCCCUUGCCAUGAUUUUUGCUCUUCCCAUUUCAUGCCUGUCCAUCAUCUAAAGGUCUCCACAUCCUACAAAAAAUGCUGCUUUCUCAUUUGUUGCUCCAAAUGUUUGAUUCUACAACAAAAAAUUGGAAGGCUACCUCUAUCUGUCCUCCAGGUCUCUCCCUCAGAACCAGACACCUUAUCCUUCAGCCCCAGAAUUCCUUUGGUUCAGCUGCCUGCUUUUAAAGUGGGUUUUAGGGAUUCAGACUAAGAGAUGGAAGAUGGCCCUCAUUGUUAGAUGUGAGUAUACUGUUAGACCAACUAAAAACAAUGACCCUAAUAGAGCCAGCAUGGUUUAGCGGUUUGAAGAAGAAACAUGCCAAGAAAGCCCUAUGAUCUGUUUGCUUCCAGGUCACCAUAAGUCAAAAAUGACACAACACAGAAUAACUGUAGUAUCAAAGCUGCAAAUCUUUUGUAUUCCCAAAUUUUGUGGCAUGUGUUAUUUAUUUGUGCAAGCUGGUUCUUAUUUUUGCUUGCCUUGUUUGGGCGAGGCUUCCAGUUUCUGAAGGAAGUCUUUCUUUCCUCUCCUGCUUGUUAAUCAGGCUGGGGCCCUUCCUCCUAGACUUCCUGUGCUACUUUUAGUGACCUGUUGUGUACGUACAGCAGUAGCUGUCAUUGUGGUUUUGAGUAACACUGAGCAUGUUGGGAGUAUCUGACUACCUUGGCUUUCCUCAUAAGUUCCCGCAAUCUGGAGAAGUCUCCUCUUUUGACAUCAACUAUGACCAGAUUAGCAGUUCUUUUGCCAUCUUCCACUUGGCUACAAAGAUUUCAGGGUGGAGUUGUGCAUUCUUGCAAUGGCAGGGGUUGGACCUGAGGACCAAGAUUAUACGAUUCAGAGUUCCUGAAAGGAAGUGGCAGAGAUUUGGAGUAGCCCCUGUCAGAAAUGCCAGCUCUCAUCACUCUAGCCAUCCAAAUUCCAUUCUCUUGCCAGGUGUGACGGAGUCACUGGCCAGACUUGCUUUCAUGGCAGCCACUCCCAGUUUGGGCUGACAGGGAGGGAGUGGAUAGAAAAGGGAGGAGCCAGUGACUGGGAAGUCAUUUACAUCAGUUAAAUGCCGAAACAGUCGGCCCAGUAAAGCCGACUUCUGCAGGGCUUGGGGGCAUGGUCUUUAGACAUUGCAUACCCACAAGAUGACCAGACGUCAGGCUGGGCAAUUCCACAUGAGUAUUUGGCCCACCUCCAUGGUGGUUUGGAGCCACACCAUGCAGCCCCAAUCCACCCUUUUUGGGUGGUCUCUUUCACCCCUAUGUUGAGUUAAGCGAAGUUCAGUUCAGUUCUAAAUACUUCUUCUCAGGAGGGUUCAGUGCAGAGUAGCUGAGGGGGAGUUUAAGAGAGAUGAGGAAUCACAGAAUCCUAGAGUUGGAAGAGACCCCAAGGGCCCUGAUCCAGUCCAACCCCCUUCUUCUGCCAUGCAGGAACUCAAAAUCAAAGCAUCCCUGACAGAUGGCCAUCCAGCCUCUGUUUAAAGACCUCUAAAGGAGACUCCGCCAUUCUCCAAGGGAACAUGUUCCACUGUCAGACAGCUCUUACUGCCAGGAGUUGAAGGGAAUUGAAUUGAGAGGAGGAUACAGAAUGGGAAAGAAAGUGUAUUGGAGAUCGUAAAGAGGAAACUGUGAAAUGCCCAAAACCAUAUCUAACCAUACCACCUUGGAACUAGUCUACCUUACAUUCUUGCCAAAUAUUAUUGAGUAAAGUCAGUGUUCAUUUGUUAAAACA